rnacentral:tRNA from 1 species
ACCGAAGUGGCGGAACUGGUAGACGCGCUGGACUCAAAAUCCAGUGAACCUAAAAUUCGUGAGGGUUCGAGUCCCUCCUUCGGUA